rnacentral:rRNA from 1 species
UGGGUAACCUGCCUCAAAGAGGGGAAUAGCCUCCCGAAAGGGAGAUUAAUACCGCAUAAUAUGUUUAAGUCGCAUGACUUUAACAUCAAAGGAUUUUCUUUUAGAAAUUCCACUUUGAGAUGGACCCGCGGCGCAUUAGCUAGUUGGUGAGGUAACGGCUCACCAAGGCAACGAUGCGUAGCCGACCUGAGAGGUGAUCGGCCACAUUGGAACUGAGACACGGUCCAGACUCCUAGGAAG